rnacentral:misc_RNA from 1 species
UCCGGCUUAUCACCGGCAGUCCCUUUAGAGUGCCCAACUGAAUGAUGGCAACUAAAGGCGAGGGUUGCGCUCGUUGCGGGACUUAACCCAACAUCACACGACACGAGCUGACGACAGCCAUGCAGCACCUGUGCACGGGCUCCGAAGAGGGGCCGCCGUUUCUGGCGGCUUUCCCGUGUAUGUCAAGCCUAGGUAAGGUUCUUCGCGUUGCGUCGAAUUAAACCACAUGCUCCACCGCUUGUGCGGGCCCCCGUCAAUUCCUUUGAGUUUCAGCCUUGCGGCCGUACUCCCCAGGCGGGGCACUUAAUGCGUUAGCGUCGGCACUCAGAGGGUCGCUCCCCCAAGCACCUAGUGCCCAUCGUUUACGGCGUGGACUAC